GCUUCAGUGCUCUGAGAGUGUUUAUAGUGCUGUGAGUUUAACACUUCAUGACUGAGAGCAGAACACAACACAAUCUUCAUCAUCACACAAGACUCAACUACUACAAUGAACAACAUCCUCAUCCUCAUCUGGACUCUGACUCUCUGUAUUCAGGAGAUCUGGGGACAAGUGACAGUGACUCAGAAUCCAGAAAUAAAAUCCAUCAAACAAGGAGAAACUGUUACAAUCAGCUGUAAAACCAGUCAGCCGAUUUCUGGCUGUAGUAACUGUGUGUCUUGGUAUCAGCAGAAACCUGGAGAAGCUCCUAAACUCCUCAUUUAUGGCAUAAGAAGCCUUUAUUCAGGAACUCCAUCUAGAUUCAGUGGAAGUGGAUCAAGCUAUGGAAGUGAUUUCUCUCUGACCAUCAGUGGAGUCCAGACUGAAGAUACAGGAGAUUAUUACUGUCAGAGUGAACACUAUAUCAGUGGUAGUUGGCUGUACACUUUCGGUGGAGGAACUAAACUGGUGCUCGCUGGUCCCACAGAGAAGCCCUCGUGUCUCUGCUGCCGCCCUCUUCUCUGCAGAUCUCUGGAGACUCAGCCGCACUGCUCUGCCUGCUCAGCUCUUACUCUCCACAGGGGCGCAGGUGAGCUGGACGCUGGACGACUCAGAGGUCACCGAAGGGGUCGUGACCAGCGCAGAGAGCGAGCGGGACGGCCUCUACAGCCGCAGUAGCGUCCUGACCUCAGCAAAGCACGCUGGGAAAAGGGAG